AAUACGUCACAAAGCUGUUAAUGAGUAGGAAUACCAAUAUAGUAUAUCAUGGCAUAACACACAUGUAUACACACUCUUGCAUAUAUACAUGACAGCAGAAUAAAAUGUAUUUAUCACAACAAGAAUAUAUAUGUGUAUAGAGAAUGCAUGGAUUUUCAUCAUCUUAUAUAAUAGUAUACUAAAUACAGUGGAUCUUAACAAGGAUGAAUGAUAGAAAACACUAAUAAAUGAAUACAAUUCUACAGUUAAGAUGAAUUGCGGAAAAGAACUAGAAAAUAUUACUCAUCAGUCAACUCAGGCUACUGGAGACCCUUACGCAUACAAACAGAUUCAGUAUGUGGUUUACCGGUUUGGUCUUCCCCUUGUAUGUGGAUUUGGAUUCUUGGGAAAUGUCUUAAACUUGAUCAUAUUGACUGGAAAGCGCAUUCAACGUUCGCUUAAGAAUAUGGAACGAUCUGCAAAUAUUUGUUUGAUUGCAUUAGCUUUUGCCGAUGCAAUGUUUUGCCUUUGUGCAUUCCCAACAACAUUUCUGCCACAUGACAAUAGCUUUGAAAAUAAAGGAUUUAUGCUAUAUUACGGCAUAUACAGUGCUGCAAUUAUCAAUAUUUUUAUCAUGAUCAGCACAUGGCUAACUGUCAAUCUAGCAACGGAAAGAUAUUUGGCGAUAUGUCAUCCAUUGAAGUCAAGGAAGAUCAUCACUUUAGGGAGAACAAAAUUUGCCAUUACAUCCGUCUUCAUUGUGUCGAUCCUCUUCAAUCUCCCAGUGUUUUGGAGAUAUGCGAUUAUAAGUGACACAGAUGAUCCAUGUGUUAAUGGAACUAAUUAUCGCAUGGUUCAGAUGGUUAUUGGAAGUACAAAAUUUGACCAUGCUUACAGGGCCGUGUGGGCGAUAUUUGGAAAUUUCAUGCCAUUAGUGAUGUUGAUAUUUUUCAAUGCUUGUCUCAUGAGGAAAAUACACCAAUCAAAGAUUAAUCGUAAAAGACUUGCAGCUAAUGCUCAAAGAGAGACUUCAAGUGAAUCUGAGUCAAGCAAUAGAGUGACCUUGACCCUGGUUGCCAUUGUUGUGAUGUUCUGUGUGCUUGUGGCUCCAUCUGAGAUAAUAAAGCAUUUGGCCUAUAUAAUCGCAAAUAACUUAGAUGAGAAUUACACUUAUCUCACGAUCGAAGUUGUAACAAACUUAAUGCAAACGAUCAAUUUCAGUGCAAAUUUCAUUUUGUACUGUAUUAUAAAUCGUUCAUUUAGGCGGACUAUGAAACACAUGUUCUGUGGCCUCUGUACAAGGGAUAAAAAUAAACUCCACAGAAUGACAAGUGUCACAAGUAGUUACAGUAUGAUUCGGACACAAAGUAGCGCAUAUAAAUAUGGAAGUCGCAGUAAUAGCCCUCGGAGAAACAGUCAAAAACAAUUUAUUAUGAACAUCAAUCUGAAAGCUCAAAAUCGUCCACAGACUUACAUAAAGGUGUCGAACGGUGAAAAUUGGAAAGAUGAAUCUAAUAGUCAUCUUUAAGCAUAUUUGGAUAUACAUACAUGUGCUAUGGGGAAACUUGUAAAUACAUACAAGUAUAUACUUAAUUGAUGUAGUAACUUUUUUAGUUUGUGAUAUUAGUGAUUCAUAUAUAUGUAUACUGAUCACAGAGGUAAUUUGUGGAUAUUAUUAUUGAAGUAAAUAAAACAAUACACAUUAAAUUACGUGAAUUCUGCUUUUUGAAUAGGUAUUUGAUAGAAAUGUCUCUCUUAAAUUUGAUGAACAUUUAUUAAAUAAUUGCAACAAUUAUCUAGUCAGAAAUUUAGUUUUAUUAAUAAAUUAUUGAAAAAUAAAAUAAUAUAAAUACAAUUAAAGUCACUGUUAUAUUGUUAUUUAUUUUUCAAAACCUAUAUGUUGACAAUCAACUAUAACAAGAGGCCACAAGAGUUUUUACUUUAGGAUCUGUGAAAGAUCAUCCAAUUUAUUUAAAAUUAGAUAGACACAUUAACAAAGCAAAAACUGAUUUCACAAUACACAACUAAAUUUUGCCUAUUUUCAUAUUUUACUACAAAUAAAAAGUCACAGAAUUUUUACUUUUAAACACUAAAACUACAAAG
rnacentral:misc_RNA from 1 species